UGAACGCUGGCGGCAGGCCUAACACAUGCAAGUCGAGCGGCAGCACGGGUACUUGUACCUGGUGGCGAGCGGCGGACGGGUGAGUAAUGCCUAGGAAUCUGCCUGGUAGUGGGGGAUAACGCUCGGAAACGGACGCUAAUACCGCAUACGUCCUACGGGAGAAAGCAGGGGACCUUCGGGCCUUGCGCUAUCAGAUGAGCCUAGGUCGGAUUAGCUAGUUGGUGAGGUAAUGGCUCACCAAGGCGACGAUCCGUAACUGGUCUGAGAGGAUGAUCAGUCACACUGGAACUGAGACACGGUCCAGACUCCUACGGGAGGCAGCAGUGGGGAAUAUUGGACAAUGGGCGAAAGCCUGAUCCAGCCAUGCCGCGUGUGUGAAGAAGGUCUUCGGAUUGUAAAGCACUUUAAGUUGGGAGGAAGGGCAGUUACCUAAUACGUAUCUGUUUUGACGUUACCGACAGAAUAAGCACCGGCUAACUCUGU
rnacentral:rRNA from 1 species